GCACCGUUGGUCUAAUGUUUAGGAUAUCUGCCUUCCAAGCGGAUAGUCAGGGUUCAAUUCUCGGACGGUGCA
rnacentral:tRNA from 1 species